rnacentral:rRNA from 1 species
CCGCACGGGUGAGUAACACGUAUCCAACCUGCCGUCUACUCUUGGACAGCCUUCUGAAAGGAAGAUUAAUACAAGAUGGCAUCAUGAGUCCACAUGUUCACAUGAUUAAAGGUAUUCCGGUAGACGAUGGGGAUGCGUUCCAUUAGAUAGUAGGCGGGGUAACGGCCCACCUAGUCUUCGAUGGAUAGGGGUUCCGAGAGGAAGGUCCCCCACAUUGGAACUGAGACACGGUCCAA